rnacentral:tRNA from 1 species
GCCGGGGUGGCGGAAUUGGAAGACGCGCUGGACUCAGGAUCCAGUGGGCUUGGUCCCGUGCGGGUUCGAGUCCCGCCCCCGGCA